ACUCCUACGGGAGGCAGCAGUAGGGAAUCUUCCGCAAUGGGCGAAAGCCUGACGGAGCAACGCCGCGUGAGUGAAGAAGGUCUUCGGAUCGAAAACUCUGUUAUUAGGGAAGAACAAAUAUGUAGUAAUACUAUGCACGNCUUUGACGGUACCUAAUCAGAAAGCCACGGCUAACUGACGUGCCAGCAGCCGCGGUAAUACGGAGGGUGCGAGCGUUAAUCGGAAUUACUGGGCGUAAAGCGCAUGCAGGUGGUUUGUUAAGUCAGAUGUGAAAGCCCGGGGCUCAACCUCGGAAUUGCAUUUGAAACUGGCAAGCUAGAGUACUGUAGAGGGGGGUAGAAUUUCAGGUGUAGCGGUGAAAUGCGUAGAGAUCUGAAGGAAUACCGGUGGCGAAGGCGGCCCCCCUGGACAGAUACUGACACUCAGAUGCGAAAGCGUGGGGAGCAAACAGGAUUAGAUACCCUGGUAGCUACGAGU
rnacentral:rRNA from 1 species